rnacentral:lncRNA from 1 species
GCCAUAUUAUAGUAUUAAUAAUAAAUAGAAUAAAAUUAAAAAUUAAAAAAAUUUAUAAUCUCAAAAUGUUCAAUAUUAGGACAAAAAAAACAUAUUGUUGAUACAUAUUCAUCAAUUGGAGUUUGACCACUAUUAUAUUUAUUAAUUAAAUGUUGAAACGUUUUGCGUUUAUUUUUUGUUUUAGAAUUUUGGUAUUUAAAGGGUUCAUUAAUUAUACUAUUUAGUUUAAUAUAUGUUUCUAUUUAAACUUCAUUUAACUUUUCUAAGAACAUGAAAAUAUUUGGAUGACUAGUAUAAAAGUUAGAAUCAAAGUGAGAAUGAAAUGACUCGAAUGCAUUAGUGGCUAUAAAGUUGGUUCUGCUGAUGCUUGAGCCCAUAUUUCAGGUGAAUACUGAGUUUCUUUACUUAUAAUAAUAAUAAUAAAAAUAAUUGUUUAUUCAAUGAAUAAAAUAUAUACAUCUACCAAAUAAAUUCGGAGCAGUUUACAUUAUACCCUUUUAACAUAGAUAACAAUUUGGGCGCGGUUACAAUAUACCUUUUUGAACAUAGAUGAAAAUUCGGGUUCUGUUUACAAAAAAAAGGUCAUUUGGGUGUAAUUUACGUAUGCCCAAGUAUUCAGGCCGUAGCAUAUUGAUAUAAAUAAUACCUUUGACGCGCGUUACAUAAUAAUGAUAAGUAGAUUUAUAACAAUAAAAUUAUAGUUGAUAGACACUGUCACACUGAUGAUACUAUAUUAUAUAAAAUCAAUCUUUGCUCGUAUAGAUACCGCACGAAAGCGUUCGCGUUCAAGAGCUGAUGACAAAAUAACAAUAAUGAUAUUUCCAGUGUUUUGAUUUAACUUAAACAACAAACACGAAUAUUAUAUGAUUUUAUAUAAUACCAUGUUUUGUUAAGCAACGCGUUUUGUAAAUGUUUGAUACGGAAAAUAAAAUACAUUAUCGUAUUAUAUUUAAACAGUGAUAAUGCUGAUGACUUCAUCUGUGCAUUAUUUAAUUUCAGCAUAAUUUUAUAAUAUUCAACCCAAACACGCCGGUCGGAUUACAUUAAUAAUUGUACCUACAUUAAUAUGAGUGAAUAUAGUGUUCUUAAUUUUUUUUUUACCUCACAAUCAAGGUCGCCCGAACACUAUUAUACGGCUUUCGAAAGAGUAUAGGGUCAUUUAAUAUCAAUUGUACGUCAACAAAGGAUGGUAUUCGCGGGUUAUAUAUAGGUAUAUUUCAUUACCUCACGCGGGAAGAUAUUGUUAUUAUUAUUAUAAUGUUGUCCAGUCGACCGGUGACGAAUGCGGUGGAGACGGGGUCGGAUUGAACGAAAAUAGGUGGUAGUACACGUUAAAGUAUGCAAACACAUUGUUGACAUAUUUACUAAUUUUUUAACUAAGAUCCGACAUAAAUUACCAGUCCACCAGGCCGUAAUAUGAUUUAGGCCGAAAUUCCAAUUUUCAGAUCGGUCAAACUAUGGAAAAAAAAUCGUUCUCCGCGAACAAUGAUGACUUUUGAUCGCUGUCAUUCUUUCGUUUAAAAAACAGUUAGACAUUCGGACGAUAUAUUAUAUAACAAUAAAAUAAUAUCAAAAUGUCCCUCGAAAACCACAGCGCUCGAGAUAAUGCAUAAAUAAAUCAAACACCGUCCGCGUAUUAUAAAACAAUUUAAUAAAAUAUAAUAAUAUACGAACCAACCGAAAUUCCUUUUCGCGCGCAUGGCGUAUGUUCAAGGGCGCAUUGGUUUCAAUAAAAAUUUGUCACUACACGGAGCAUUUUUUUUUUUUUUUAUUGUACACCGUUUGUAUUGUACCUAUAUAUGUGCACAUAAAUAUAUAAUGGCAUUAUGCUCGGUGUUCAUAACCACUUGCAGAUAAAUGAGGAUUAAUGAUUUUUAAAUUGCGGUACGCGUACGACUGCAGAUAGGUACCUUUACGCGAACAUACCAAAAAUAUUAAUUAAUAAUAUAACGUACAGCUGCACCACGCGGUAAGGCCGCCAAAAAGACGACGACUCGUGCCAGAAGGGCGUCAAUCGGUCUCGUGCACAAAAUAAUAUUUUAAUUUAUAAAGCAUAUUAUAGAACGACGACGGCGGUAAUCGUAUUAUGAUUAUAAUAAUAUUUUGUUUGUUGUUUUCGUUAAGUUUUUCGAACCGACAAGUUAUAUUCGCCGUUGGCUACUCCACCGCGCACACAGUGUUACUAAACUUAUGGAACCGUAGAGUAAGCAUUUAUAUUAAUAAGUAAUGACCGAUUUAUAAAAUGCUUUUGUAAGACUUUAAAGCAGCGGUAGACAGUUAAAUUCUAAAUACAUCCAAAUACAAGAUAAAAAUAGAUCAAAUAUAAAUAUUGAAAUAUCUAUUAUGCGUGGAAAACAGCAUUAAAAAAAAAAAUGAUAUUCUUGGCGGUCCAGUCAUUUGCAUUUCACGGGCAGGAUUUGGCCCGCAGGCUGUCUAUGGCCGGCACCGACCCCUGCUUUAAAGUGUUAGCUCAUAUAACUUCUAAAUACUCGACAUUAAUUUUUCUCAAAACCAUUCAUCUCUAGAGUUUUGUGGCAUAAUAAUUAACCGUUCUAUUAUAAUAUUAUUAUCUUUCAAUGUUUGACAUCGAUUUAAAUAAUCCAAAUGAGUUGAGCUGCAGCCUACUUGAUAACACAAAUUACAAUAGAUAGUAGUGGAUACAUUCUGAUAUAUCCUAGAACUACAAACCGAAUUCGUCCUAGGCUAAGUAUAAUAACCUGAAAUAGUGUCGCGAUUCGCAUAGUACGCAUUAAAACGUUCGGCUUGAUACGAGCGCCUGUUUAUCGGUGUAAAUAAAAUAAUAAUUAUCAACCGGUUAUGUCGGAGCUCGGAGGUUAUAAUAUUAUUACCACGAUAAAUAAUUAUUAAAUAUAGGUACAUAUUAGGUUAUAUUUAGAGGCUGAUUAAUAAGUUUACAAAUAUAUUAACUUUUCGAGCACACAAGUCCGAUAAAAUGAGCCAUGAAAGUUGGUAAUCGACUUUUGAGAGGUCACUUGGCCGAUAAUGCGUUAUAUCUGUACCAAACUCGCGUAUUGUACGGUUUCAAGUUUGUCCUCAAUUUAGCUCGGAAUCGCAUACAACUAAAUUGCCUUUGUACAAAUACUGUGUAGUGUGCACUAUCGUUUGGCGGUCGAUAGCGAUAUCAGUUAUUUUUAAUUCUCGUUCGUUUUGCCUUUUGUCACAAAGCAUCAUCGACAGCUGAACGUAGUGGUAUAAAAUAAUUAAACAUUAUUUAUAGUGAUUACUGCUCGCGUGGGUCGAUAAAAAGAGUUUUCUCGCAAAAGCCCCCGCAGAUAUAAUACAGGUCAACUAUGUCCAUUGUGUACAUAACGACUAACAUGUUAUAAUAAUUAUAGGAUCCGAUCGAUCAAACUUUCAAGUUAAGUCACGGAUUAACAAUUCAAAUUUUUUGUGAGCGACUUUAGGAAUUCGGGAACAUUUUAGGAGCCAUCGAAAAAACGUAAAUGUAAAAUCAAAAAAAAAAUUAAAAAAUGUCUGUGAGCCAGAUAAGGUUUGCCGUCUGGCUGCAAUUUGGUGACCUCUUAACUAAGGUCUACACGCUUACGACUAAUUUAAAUUGAACUCAUACUUAGUAUAAUAUACAACACAAUAUCCUCUGCACGCGCGACGAUAUAAUAUAAUAUUAUAUAAUGUUAUAAAUUGGAAUACAAUAAUACCGUUUUUCGUACUCUGAGCAAUUGUUAUGCGUGUGCAAGUAGGUACAAUGCACAUCACGGUACAGUAUAAGAAUAAGACACACCAGUGGCGGAAAAUAGGUAGGCAUACAAAUUAAUCAUCAAUGACGUAAACGGACAGUAUUUAUAAAGCGGUAAUAUUGUGAAUAGGUAUUAAUGUUAUAUUUUAUAAUAUUAUUAUGACGAUUUAUAUAACUCUGUUCAUACAAUAUUUUACAAAUCGUACACUCGCUGCACGUAAUAGUAUCUAUACCUAAUCAGUACCGGUUUUGUCUUCAGGGGGAGGGGGGGUUGAUAUGUAAUACUAUCAUGGUACAAAGAAACUCAUCCUCUUGUCGAAGUCUUUAAUUUUUACCUAUUUAUGUCAAAAAUAAUUAACCAAGGCCAAGGACCCCUCCACCCCCCCACAAUGGUGUUGUAUCCCUCGAAACCAUCACCGAGUAUAAUAUAGUACUUGACAAAUACGUAUUCUAUGUUUCUAUGUCAUAAAUAUUAUAAUAACAAAUUAAUAUAAUUUAUCUAUUCACUGACAAUACGAUGGGACGUCCAAGUAAUCUGUUUUUUGCCUGUGG